GAAAUUUUAGUAAAACAAUUACAUAACUUUGUCAAAGUUAAAUCACAGGUUUAAGUCCUGUAAAUUUCU
rnacentral:tRNA from 1 species